UGUGGAUUAGCUCAGUGGUAGAGCGCUUGCCUAGUAAGCACAAGGCCCUGGGUUCAGUCCCCAGCUCCGGAA
rnacentral:tRNA from 1 species